rnacentral:misc_RNA from 1 species
UCCCUUUAGACCUGUGACCAG